GGGGGGGGGGGGGGGGGGGGGGGGGGGGGGGGGGGGGGGGGGGGGGGGGGGGGGGGGGGGGGGGGGGGGGGGGGGGGGGGGGGGGGGGGGGUGCGGGCCGCCCCGCGCCGCUCCUUUGUUCGCUCGCCGCCUCACGGGGCUGAGACAGGCAGCUGUCAAGGAAUAAAGCUGAACUGAGGGGGAAAGGAGCGUUUAUUCCCAGUGGGCAAAAAGAGGAAGGCUGAAAUGAAGGAUUUUCUCCAAUGAGCAGCAAACCCCACCUCUGAAUUUCCAGUAAAUCUAUUGCGAGUACAAAGCAAACCAAUCAAAAAACGUCAAGGUGUAUUUACUGUCCUAUUAACCUGGUGCCCCAUUCCCUCUCUGGCACACGCUGG
rnacentral:lncRNA from 12 species